GUUCCUGUAGUUGAAGUAUAGUCAACGGUGGUUUUUCAAGCCACAGGUCUUGGAGAGUGGCCAAGUGGGAAUU
rnacentral:tRNA from 1 species